UGUUGCCUUGUGUUAAUUCUGUGCCUCCUC
rnacentral:piRNA from 1 species